rnacentral:rRNA from 1 species
AGGGCGCACGGUGGAUGCCUUGGCACUAGAAGCCGAUGAAGGACGUUACUAACGACGAUAUGCUUUGGGGAGCUGUAAGUAAGCUUUGAUCCAGAGAUUUCCGAAUGGGGAAACCCAGCAUGAGUUAUGUCAUGUUAUCGAUAUGUGAAUACAUAGCAUAUCAGAAGGCACACCCGGAGAACUGAAACAUCUUAGUACCCGGAGGAAGAGAAAGAAAAUUCGAUUCCCUUAGUAGCGGCGAGCGAAACGGGAAGAGCCCAAACCAACAAGCUUGCUUGUUGGGGUUGUAGGACACUCUAUACGGAGUUACAAAGGACGACAUUAGACGAAUCAUCUGGAAAGAUGAAUCAAAGAAGGUAAUAAUCCUGUAGUCGAAAAUGUUGUCUCUCUUGAGUGGAUCCUGAGUACGACGGAGCACGUGAAAUUCCGUCGGAAUCUGGGAGGACCAUCUCCUAAGGCUAAAUACUCUCUAGUGACCGAUAGUGAACCAGUACCGUGAGGGAAAGGUGAAAAGCACCCCGGAAGGGGAGUGAAAUAGAACCUGAAACCGUGUGCUUACAAGUAGUCAGAGCCCGUUAAUGGGUGAUGGCGUGCCUUUUGUAGAAUGAACCGGCGAGUUACGAUUUGAUGCAAGGUUAAGCAGUAAAUGUGGAGCCGUAGCGAAAGCGAGUCUGAAUAGGGCGUUUAGUAUUUGGUCGUAGACCCGAAACCAGGUGAUCUACCCUUGGUCAGGUUGAAGUUCAGGUAACACUGAAUGGAGGACCGAACCGACUUACGUUGAAAAGUGAGCGGAUGAACUGAGGGUAGCGGAGAAAUUCCAAUCGAACCUGGAGAUAGCUGGUUCUCUCCGAAAUAGCUUUAGGGCUAGCCUCAAGUGAUGAUUAUUGGAGGUAGAGCACUGUUUGGACGAGGGGCCCCUCUCGGGUUACCGAAUUCAGACAAACUCCGAAUGCCAAUUAAUUUAACUUGGGAGUCAGAACAUGGGUGAUAAGGUCCGUGUUCGAAAGGGAAACAGCCCAGACCACCAGCUAAGGUCCCAAAAUAUAUGUUAAGUGGAAAAGGAUGUGGCGUUGCCCAGACAACUAGGAUGUUGGCUUAGAAGCAGCCAUCAUUUAAAGAGUGCGUAAUAGCUCACUAGUCGAGUGACACUGCGCCGAAAAUGUACCGGGGCUAAACAUAUUACCGAAGCUGUGGAUUGUCCUUUGGACAAUGGUAGGAGAGCGUUCUAAGGGCGUUGAAGCAUGAUCGUAAGGACAUGUGGAGCGCUUAGAAGUGAGAAUGCCGGUGUGAGUAGCGAAAGACGGGUGAGAAUCCCGUCCACCGAUUGACUAAGGUUUCCAGAGGAAGGCUCGUCCGCUCUGGGUUAGUCGGGUCCUAAGCUGAGGCCGACAGGCGUAGGCGAUGGAUAACAGGUUGAUAUUCCUGUACCACCUAUAAUCGUUUUAAUCGAUGGGGGGACGCAGUAGGAUAGGCGAAGCGUGCGAUUGGAUUGCACGUCUAAGCAGUAAGGCUGAGUAUUAGGCAAAUCCGGUACUCGUUAAGGCUGAGCUGUGAUGGGGAGAAGACAUUGUGUCUUCGAGUCGUUGAUUUCACACUGCCGAGAAAAGCCUCUAGAUAGAAAAUAGGUGCCCGUACCGCAAACCGACACAGGUAGUCAAGAUGAGAAUUCUAAGGUGAGCGAGCGAACUCUCGUUAAGGAACUCGGCAAAAUGACCCCGUAACUUCGGGAGAAGGGGUGCUCUUUAGGGUUAACGCCCAGAAGAGCCGCAGUGAAUAGGCCCAAGCGACUGUUUAUCAAAAACACAGGUCUCUGCUAAACCGUAAGGUGAUGUAUAGGGGCUGACGCCUGCCCGGUGCUGGAAGGUUAAGAGGAGUGGUUAGCUUCUGCGAAGCUACGAAUCGAAGCCCCAGUAAACGGCGGCCGUAACUAUAACGGUCCUAAGGUAGCGAAAUUCCUUGUCGGGUAAGUUCCGACCCGCACGAAAGGCGUAACGAUUUGGGCACUGUCUCAACGAGAGACUCGGUGAAAUCAUAGUACCUGUGAAGAUGCAGGUUACCCGCGACAGGACGGAAAGACCCCGUGGAGCUUUACUGUAGCCUGAUAUUGAAAUUCGGCACAGCUUGUACAGGAUAGGUAGGAGCCUUUGAAACGUGAGCGCUAGCUUACGUGGAGGCGCUGGUGGGAUACUACCCUAGCUGUGUUGG